rnacentral:rRNA from 1 species
CAGUAGCCGCGGUAACACCAGCAGCCCAAGUGGUGGUCGCGCUUAUUGGGCCUAAAGCGCUCGUAGCCUGGCCGGUAAGUUCCCCGUGAAAUCGGGUCGCCCAACGAUUCGGCUUGCGGGGAAUACUGUCGGUCUUGGGGCCGGGAGACGCCGAGGGUACUCCGGGGGUAGCGGUGAAAUGCUGUAAUCCUCGGGGGACUACCAGUGGCGAAGGCGCUCGGCGAUAACGGGCCUGACGGUGAGGGGCGAAAGCUGGGGGCGCGAACGGGAUUAGAUACCCCUGUAGUCCCUGUCUCUUAUA